CUUCCAGGAAAAGCCUCUAAGCUUCAGAUAGUCAGGAAUCGUACCCCAAACCGACACAGGUGGUCGGGUAGAGAAUACCAAGGCGCUUGAGAGAACUCGGGUGAAGGAACUAGGCAAAAUGGUACCGUAACUUCGGGAGAAGGUACGCUCUUGAUGGUGAAGUCCCUCGCGGAUGGAGCUGACGAGAGUCGCAGAUACCAGGUGGCUGCAACUGUUUAUUAAAAACACAGCACUGUGCAAAAUCGCAAGAUGACGUAUACGGUGUGACGCCUGCCCGGUGCCGGAAGGUUAAUUGAUGGGGUUAGCGCAAGCGAAGCUCUUGAUCGAAGCCCCGGUAAACGGCGGCCGUAACUAUAACGGUCCUAAGGUAGCGAAAUUCCUUGUCGGGUAAGUUCCGACCUGCACGAAUGGCGUAAUGAUGGCCACGCUGUCUCCACCCGAGACUCAGUGAAAUUGAAAUCGCUGUGAAGAUGCAGUGUACCCGCGGCUAGACGGAAAGACCCCGUGAACCUUUACUACAGCUUGGCACUGAACAUUGAACCUACAUGUGUAGGAUAGGUGGGAGGCUAUGAAGACGUGACGCCAGUUGCGUUGGAGCCGUCCUUGAAAUACCACCCUUGUAUGUUUGAUGUUCUAACGUUGGCCCCUAAUCGGGGUUGCGGACAGUGCCUGGUGGGUAGUUUGACUGGGGCGGUCUCCUCCCAAAGAGUAACGGAGGAGCACGAAGGUGGGCUAAUCACGGUUGGACAUCGUGAGGUUAGUGCAAUGGCAUAAGCCCGCUUAACUGCGAGAAUGACGGUUCGAGCAGGUGCGAAAGCAGGUCAUAGUGAUCCGGUGGUUCUGUAUGGAAGGGCCAUCGCUCAACGGAUAAAAGGUACUCCGGGGAUAACAGGCUGAUACCGCCCAAGAGUUCAUAUCGACGGCGGUGUUUGGCACCUCGAUGUCGGCUCAUCACAUCCUGGGGCUGAAGUCGGUCCCAAGGGUAUGGCUGUUCGCCAUUUAAAGUGGUACGCGAGCUGGGUUUAGAACGUCGUGAGACAGUUCGGUCCCUAUCUGCCGUGGGCGUUGGAAGAUUGAAGGGGGCUGCUCCUAGUACGAGAGGACCGGAGUGGACGAACCUCUGGUGUUCGGGUUGUGUCGCCAGACGCAUUGCCCGGUAGCUAAGUUCGGAAUUGAUAAGCGCUGAAAGCAUCUAAGCGCGAAGCGAGCCCUGAGAUGAGUCUUCCCUGAUACUUUAAGUAUCCUAAAGGGUUGUUCGAGACUAGAACGUUGAUAGGCAGGGUGUGUAAGCGUUGUGAGGCGUUGAGCUAACCUGUACUAAUUGCCCGUGAGGCUUAACCAU
rnacentral:rRNA from 1 species